rnacentral:pre_miRNA from 1 species
AUCUAACAUGGCGGAGUUGUGUCAUCUUACCUGGCAGGUUUAGAUGGUUCUGGGAUCUAACACUGUCUGGUAAUGAUGACGGGACUCCGCACAUA